rnacentral:rRNA from 1 species
GGGGGGGGGGGGGGGCGGGCGGGAUGCGGGGAGGGCGGGGGGGCGGGCGAGGAGCUUGCUUCUCUGAGGUUAGCGGCGGGCGGGUGAGUAACACGUGGAUAACCUACCUAUAAGACUGGGAUAACUUCGGGAAACCGGAGCUAAUACCGGAUAAUAUUUUGAACCGCAUGGUUCAAAAGUGAAAGACGGUCUUGCUGUCACUUAUAGAUGGAUCCGCGCUGCAUUAGCUAGUUGGGAAGGUAACGGCUGACCAAGGCAACGAUGCAUAGCCGACCUGAGAGGGUGAUCGGCCACACUGGAACUGAGACACGGUCCAGACUCCUACGGGAGGCAGCAGUAGGGAAUCUUCCGCAAUGGGCGAAAGCCUGACGGAGCAACGCCGCGUGAGUGAUGAAGGUCUUCGGAUCGUAAAACGCUGUUAUUAGGGAAGAACAUAUGUGUAAGUAACUGUGCACAUCUUGACGGUACCUAAUCAAAAAGCCACGGCUAACUACGUG